AACGAACGCUGGCGGCAUGCCUAACACAUGCAAGUCGAACGAGACCUUCGGGUCUAGUGGCGCACGGGUGCGUACCGCGUGGGAACCUGCCCUUAGGUUCGGAAUAACUCCCCGAAAGGGGUGCUAAUACCGGAUAAUGUCUUCGGACCAAAGAUUUAUCGCCUUUGGAUGGGCCCGCGUUGGAUUAGCUAGUUGGUAGGGUAAAAGCCUACCAAGGCGACGAUCCAUAGCUGGUCUGAGAGGAUGAUCAGCCACACUGGGACUGAGACACGGCCCAGACUCCUACGGGAGGCAGCGGAGGGGAAUAUUGGACAAGGGGCGAAGGCCUGAUCCAGCAAUGCCGGGUGAGUGAUGAAGGCCUUAGGGUUGUAAAGCUCUUUUACCCGGGAUGAUAAUGACAGUACCGGGAGAAUAAGCUCCGGCUAACUCCGUG
rnacentral:rRNA from 1 species